UACGGAAGGGGCGAGCGUUGUUCGGAAUCAUUGGGCGUAAAGGGCGCGUAGGCGGGCUGUCAAGUCUGGGGUGAAAUGCCGCGGCUCAACCGUGGAACUGCCUUAGAUACUGACGGCCUCGAGGAAGGUAGGGGCAUGCGGAACUGUAGGUGGAGCGGUGAAAUGCGUUGAUAUCUACAGGAACUCCGGUGGCGAAAGCGGCGUGCUGGACCUUUUCUGACGCUGAGGCGCGAAAGCUAGGGGAGCAAACGGG
rnacentral:rRNA from 1 species